rnacentral:lncRNA from 1 species
GCAGCAGGCACCCUGGAGUGUGGAGUGAGGCAGAAGGUAGAAAACAAGAAGCUGAAGCCCAAGUCCACCUACUGAAGCCUCUUUUUCCUGUUAAUGGACCUGAUUUGGAAUGAUCCUUCCCAGCUCUUGAUGAAUCUCUGCCAGAAGGAUUAUAGAAAUUGGUAUGACUCUUGGAGAAGGAGAUGUAGAAAAUCUGACUCUCCAGUCCAGUGGCCUGUGAAAAGCUCACUCAAUUAAAGUGGAAAGAUAAGAGGCUCCUGUCACCUACAAGAGCACAGGAACAGACUUGACUAUUGCUGACAGUGACUCAUUUUGGGAUACAGAACAUAGUGGAGUAAAUAAGCUUACUGGAGUGAGACUACUGCAGGGAGGGUUGAGCUGUGACACUAUCGUCUUGUCUGCUUCUUAGGUGAGGAUAUGAGACCUAGGAAUUGCUGGAGCUUGUGUAUGAAGCAACCCUGUGGAAAGCAGAAGAAAAAAGAAAUGGAAUUCUUAGCUGCUGGAUCAGGCUUCAUCUAAAGUUGUGGGUACUAUGGACUUUUUAAUUGUGUGAGCCAAUAAGUGUCCUUUAUUAUUUAAAUGAGUUCCAUCUCUUGUAACAAAAUGAUUUCUAAUCAAUAGACUGGGAAAAACACUUGCAACUAAGUAUUCCUAGUACAUUAAAAAAUUCUUUAGUACAAAGAAUAUUCCUUACUGUAUAUAUUUCAUUAGCAUAUAAAUAAAUUUUAGAAUUAGUAAGAAAAAGAAUAACUCAAUAGAUAAAUGACAAAGAACACAAAGAAGGAAAGGAAAUGGCUUACAAGUAUAUGAAAUGUAUUCAAUCUUAUUUAUGAUUAAUUAUAAAUUGAAAUGACCUACCUCUUUUAAUAAUUGGAAUGAGGAAGAUAAAAAAGAAACCAUGCAGUGUUAGUAAACAAUAGGCAAACAUGUACUCUGUGUGGAGGCAGAAGAUAAUAAACUGGAGGUAAUUGGCAACAUCUAUCAAAAUUGUUGGUAAACAUAUCCUGUGACCAGGCAAAUUUCACUUCUAGGAAUUUACCCUACAGAUAAACUCCCAUGAGGAAGAAAAUAUAUUGGAUUCUACACUGUGUUCCAUUGGUUAAUUUGGUAAUUAAGCUCCUUUUUGUUCUUCUUCAAGUCUGACUAUUCCAAGUCCUUACAUUUCCAUAUGCUGAUAUUAAUGUAGUCACACCAACAUUCUUUUGGUUGAUGUUUGCAUACUAUCUUGAUCACAAAGAUAAUUUCUUUUCUUAAUUUUCCUCAUCUUUAACAUGGACUUUUGUUACAACCUGUUUCAUGUUGCUUUGUGGUUAGUUAUGUUGCCCUCUUCCCCUAACUAGAUCCCUCAGCUGCAGAGAGGAAGGAGAGGCCAGGAGUCCAGCAUCACACAAAGCUUGGCAUUUGUGGGCCAGCCAGUAUCUAGCAAGAGUGUGUCAUAAAUGUAUAUUGAAGAAUUAAAUGACUUUCAGGGGGACAUUUCCUGUUUUCAACGUUUAACCUUUUGCAGAAGAGAUGCCGAGUAGAUCAACUGAGCACACAGAAGGUAUUUACAAGGCUUCCCACAUGUAACACAUCUUCAAUGAAUGGGAAGAGGGAAGAUGGUAGAAAUAUCUAAUCAUUUAAGAUGCUUUCUAGCCUUAUAAAAUAACAUGAGCAAAUUUGUCAUUUUGAUAACAUUUGGAUUCUGCCAAAUGAGGAACAAUUUCUCUGGAUUUGUGGGUUUUAAAAUGUGAGGCAAAGGAAGCAUGCUGUGGUCUACACAGUCUCCAGUAGGUGAUUGGAUCCAGGACCCCCACAAAUGCCCAAAUCCUCAGAUGCUUGAGGUCCUUAGAUAGAAAUGACAUAAUGUUUGUGUGUAACGUACACAUAUCCUCCCAUAUACUUUAGGUCAUCUCUAGAUUAUUUAUAAUACCUAAUAUAGUGCGAAAGCUAUGUAAAUAGUUGCUAUACUAUAUUAUUUAAGGAAUCAUGACAAGGGAAAGAGUCUGUAUAUGUUCAGUACUGAUGAUGAUUUUUGUUUCUAAAUAUUUUUCAGUCAGUGAUUGGUUGAAUAUGUGGAUUUGGAUACAGAGGGUCAACUGUACUCUUGUCACUGAGAGGGGAAUUUAUCAGACAAUAUGGUUGCAAUGGUCUGGUCCCAGUGUAAUGAUUAUACUUCUGAUCCUAAUUUCAAUUCCACAGGGCAUAAAAUCACCAAUAGUAAAGUAUACUGCUUCCCAUCAGGGAUGUGGUAACAAUGUAGGUUCCUGUAUGCACAGUUAGUGUCACAUAGCUCUCACACUGGUGGAAAGGGCUUUUACCAUUGGAAGAGGAAAAUCCAAACAAGAUGGAAUAACCCUUUGAAGUUCACUUUAAUCGAAGGAUAUUUACAUAAUUCACUUUGGAUUGUACCUCUUUAAAUGGUUGUACUUCCUGUCUAUAUCCACACCUAAAAAGUGUCAGUCAUUUAUAGUCCUUUCUCAUGUUUUUAUUGGCAUUUUUAUUAUAAAACCAAAUAUAGUAAAAAUUUCUAAUCAAAAAAGAAAUGAAAAGUUACUGCAUCACUUUGGAUUUUAUCAGUACUGUCCACUACAGAGGAGUAGAUAAAUAGAUGGUAAACUUUUGAGGCUCUCAUUGAAUAUGUAAAUAUGAGAAUCUGCCACAGAAAAAAGUUCAAGUAUUACAGGGAAAGAAUGUCUAACUUAUAACGUUUAAUUUAUUAUAGCCAAAGUUUGUCCUGUUUUUUGUUUUGUUGUUGUCCACAUUAAAACUAUCAUAUUUAUAAACAUUUUAUUUCUUACACAGCAAAUCUUUCAAGAGAUAUGAAUAUAGUACUGCCACCUCCUGGAAAUAUAAAUAUUCAAUGAUAUAAUUUGCAAAAUUAUAUGAACAUAAUACAUGCAUGUUUGGCCAGUAUUUUUUUUCAGUACCUGGAAUCAAACUCAGGGCCUUGCACUUGCCAGGCAGGUGCAGCACCACUGAGCUACAUCCUCAGCCCCCCUGGCCAGUAUUUUUUAAUGAAAGAGCUUAAAGCUUUAAUUUUUGGGCUGGAUAAAGAUAAAAAGGUAUGAUGAUGAAAUCUUACUGUUUUCCAAAACUCAGGAGGCUAAAUGAUGUUUUAAAGACAUAGUCAAAGCUAAAAAACUAUUAAAAUCUUUAUAGCUAAGUGGUUAAAACCAUACAUUACAUUUCCCCUAAAAGCAUAUACAUUUAUCCAAGUGUUAACAAUAUUUUCAUAAAGAUCAAGAAUAUUAAAAAAAAAUUAACUAUUUAGUCAGAUCUCCAGUGUGUGGCUUCUGUCGCCAGUGACUCUGGCAUGUGCUGUGCCAUCUCAUCAGUAGGCCACUGGGAGAAAAGUGUUCUCGCCAACACUUCAGGAUACCUGUGUUAGUUUACCUCUCAGUUGAUGAAAGAAGAGAUUAAUUCUGAACGUGAUUACUUUAGUGCAGCCUGGCUUUCCCUGAAGCAUUAACAGGUCAUGGUGACAUGUCCUUUCAAUGUCACAUGGGACAAAACCCCCAGAGGAUUAGCUGGAGAAAUGAAAUUUGAUUCAGUAUUUAUUAAAGGUCCCAGACUUAGUGAAGUUACAUGUUAGUUUGGAGAUUUUGCCUGAUAAAGGAACAAUUUCUCUUCUGUGGAAAUGAUCCACAGAAGGUUUAUGUCCCCUUGGACAUUAGCCAGGUUUGUGUAUGACCUGGCAAUUGUGUCUUCACAUUGUCAAAAAUUCCCCAACUUUCCAGAUGUUCUUGGAGCCAGUUUUCAUCUCUUACUGUUAUUCUCAUUAAUGAACAUACUGAGUAAAAUCUUAUCAUGUAUUUAUUUGUACAAGAAUGCCAUGUCUUGUAACCUUUUGAAAAUUAAAUUGAUCAGUUCCAAAGGUCAUGCAUUGAAAUGUUUGAGGGGAUAACCCCCAUUUGCCUGCAAAUCUUUCCUUGACCUCUAGUUUGCACACGUUGAAUAAAUUAUUCUCUAUUAGUGGCAGCAGUGUCUGGGGAUUUGCUUUUAUGAUCUGACUAUUCAGUGAUCUCUAUUGGAUGAAUAGUGGGAGACUUGUUCUCUGUUGAGUGAGAAAUGACAGAGAAUCCUGUGUGGUUUUUAAUAGAGUUUGCUUUGUUUGGCUCAUUUGUUUAUACACAAUCUCAAAUCAAUUAAGAACUUAUAUAUUCAGUGGACAGGAACAUAACUCUGAAUUUUUUGACCUGCGGCUAAAUUUGUAGAUCUGAAGCUACAAGCUCACUAGGUGUCUUAUAUCUGUAAUUAAGAAAGGUCUUUAGCCCUCUGUAUAAGUAUGAAAUAUUUCCUAUCUCUAGAAGGUAUUAAUGAAUUAGAUUAUAAUAUUGUUUACGUUGAAAGAGCAUUGGUAUGGUUAGCUUAUAGAGAUGAUCAUUCAAAUGAUUAAUAAAUAAAUGUUUUCCAAAUUUAAACCAUACAGAAUGAACCUCUUGUAAUUCAAAUUGUGCUAGUCUUUUAAGAAAGAUGGUUGUUUUUCUAGAAAUCACUAUCUCAGAAACAUUUUGUGAAUCCAAGUUUACAUAGUGAAGGUGAGUCUUUGAACAAAUUAGCUGAUUUAAUAGUUUGAACAAUGGCUAUACACCUUUUCCCUGAGCUUAUCACUACAGGGCAUGAUACAAGCAUACAUUUAAUUUUUUUUUUUUUUUGGUACCAGAGAUUGAACUUGGGACCUUAUGCUUGCGAGGCAGGCGCCAGAACCACUGAGCUAAAUCUCCAGCCCCUGAUACAUUUAAUUUUUUAAAUUAAAAUUUAGGGCUUUUAAUCUCAGAAAAAC